GUGGGGAAUAUUGGACAAUGGGCGAAAGCCUGAUCCAGCCAUGCCGCGUGUGUGAAGAAGGUCUUCGGAUUGUAAAGCACUUUAAGUUGGGAGGAAGGGCAGUAAGUUAAUACCUUGCUGUUUUGACGUUACCGACAGAAUAAGCACCGGCUAACUUCGUGCCAGCAGCCGCGGUAAUACGAAGGGUGCAAGCGUUAAUCGGAAUUACUGGGCGUAAAGCGCGCGUAGGUGGUUUUGUAAGUUGGAGGUGAAAUCCCCGGGCUCAACCUAGGAACUGCCUCCAAAACUGCAUGACUAGAGUACGGUAGAGGGUAGUGGAAUUUCCUGUGUAGCGGUGAAAUGCGUAGAUAUAGGAAGGAACACCAGUGGCGAAGGCGACUACCUGGACUGAUACUGACACUGAGGUGCGAAAGCGUGGGGAGCAAACAGGAUUAGAUACCCGUGUAGUCC
rnacentral:rRNA from 1 species